rnacentral:rRNA from 1 species
ACGGGAGGCAGCAGUGGGGAAUAUUGCACAAUGGGGGAAACCCUGAUGCAGCGACGCCGCGUGAGUGAAGAAGUAUUUCGGUAUGUAAAGCUCUAUCAGCAGGGAAGAUAAUGACGGUACCUGACUAAGAAGCACCGGCUAAAUACGUGCCAGCAGCCGCGGUAAUACGUAUGGUGCAAGCGUUAUCCGGAUUUACUGGGUGUAAAGGGAGCGUAGACGGCAUGGCAAGUCUGAAGUGAAAGCCUGGGGCUCAACCCCGGAACUGCUUUGGAAACUGUUAAGCUAGAGUGCAGGAGAGGUAAGUGGAAUUCCUAGUGUAGCGGUGAAAUGCGUAGAUAUUAGGAGGAACAUCAGUGGCGAAGGCGGCUUACUGGGCUUUAACUGACGCUGAGGCUCGAAAGCGUGGGGAGCAAACAGGAUUAGAUACCCUGGUA